rnacentral:rRNA from 1 species
UGAGUACGAGAUGCUACGGCGUCGAAGCAGUCUAGGUCAUACUUCCAAGAAAAGCUUGCACUGUCAUAAACAAAGAAUGCCUGUACCAUAACCGACACAGGUGGGUAGGUAGAGUAUACUAAGGGGCGCGAGAUAACUCUCUCUAAGGAACUCGGCAAAAUGACUCCGUAACUUCGGGAGAAGGAGUGCCUUAUUUUUAAGGUUGCAAUAACAAGAUCCAAGCAACUGUUUACCAAAAACACAGGUCUCCGCUAAGUCGUAAGACGAUGUAUGGGGGCUGACGCCUGCCCAGUGCCAGAAGGUUAAAGAAGUUGGUUAGCAUUCGCGAAGCUGAUAACUGAAGCCCUGGUGAACGGCGGCCGUAACUAUAACGGUCCUAAGGUAGCGAAAUUCCUUGUCGGGUAAGUUCCGACCCGCACGAAAGGCGUAAUGAUUUGGAUACUGUCUCGGAGAGGGGCUCGGUGAAAUAGACUUGUCUGUGAAGAUGCGGACUACCUGCACCUGGACAGAAAGACCCUAUGAAGCUUUACUGUAACUUGAGAUUGAAAUUGGACUUUAUUUGCGCAGUAUAGGUGGGAGGCGUUGAGAAUAAUCUUGCGGGAUUAUCGGAGCCAUCAGUGAGAUACCACUCUUGUAAUGUUAGAUUUCUAACUUUGUAUCAUUAUCUGGUCAAAGAACAGUUUCAGGCGGGCAGUUUGACUGGGGCGGUCGCCUCCCAAAGGGUAACGGAGGCGCACAAAGGUUUCCUCUGAACGGGUAGAAAUCGUAUCUAGAGUGUAAAGGCAUAAGGAAGCUUGACUGUGAGACCUACAAGUCGAGCAGGGACGAAAGUCGGUCUUAGUGAUCUGACGGUGCUGAGUGGAAAGGCCGUCACUCAACGGAUAAAAGUUACUCUAAGGAUAACAGGCUGAUCUCCCCCAAGAGUUCACAUCGACGGGGAGGUUUGGCACCCCGAUGUCGGCUCAUCGCAUCCUGGGGCGGUAGUACGUCCCAAGGGUUGGGCUGUUCGCCCAUGAAAGCGGUACGCGAGCUGGGUUCAGAACGUCGUGAGACAGUUCGGUCCCUAUCCGGUGUAGGCGUUAGAAUAUGGAAAGGAGCCUUCUCUAGUACGAGAGGACCGAGAAGGACAUACCUCUGGUGUGCCAGUUAUCGUGCCAACGGUAAACGCUGGGUAGCUAUGUAUGGAGUGGAUAACCGCUGAAAGCAUCUAAGUGGGAAGCCCACCUUAAGAUAAGUAUUCCC